rnacentral:rRNA from 1 species
UCUCAGAAAAAGAAUUUUAGUCCAACCUAAAGUUACCUUAAUACAACUAUAUAUAAAUGCAACUUUAGAGCAACUCAAAUAAGGUACAGCCUGUUUGAGAUAGGAAACAACCUUUACUAACGGGUAAUCUAAUUAAUGCAACGUAAUCAAGUAGGCUUAAGAGCAGCCACCUUUUAAAAAGCGUUAAAGCUUAUAUAUAAGCCCAAUAAAUAACUAAAACCCCAUCGACCCCUUUAACCGUACUGAGUACUCCCAUACUUUUAUGGAACCUUUUAUGUUAAAACUAGUAACAAGAAGUAACCCUUCUCUUUGAUGCGAGCAUAAAUCAGUACGGACCCACCACUGAUAAUUAACAGACCCAAUAAAUAGUAACCCAACUAGAAAACCCUAUUAUACUCACCGUUAACCUAACACAAGAGCAUCUCAAGAUAGAUUAAAAGAAAAAGAAGGAACUCGGCAAACCAUUAAUCCCGCCUGUUUACCAAAAACAUCGCCUCUUGCUANNNNNNNAUAUAAGAGGUCCAGCCUGCCCAGUGACUUCUGUUUAACGGCCACGGUAUCCUAACCGUGCGAAGGUAGCGUAAUCACUUGUUUUUUAAAUAAAGACUAGUAUGAAAGGCAUCACGAGAAUUAAACUGUCUCCUUUUUCUAAUCAGUGAAACUAAUCUUCCCGUGAAAAAGCGAGAAUAAAAUUAUAAGACGAGAAGACCCUAUGGAGCUUUAAACUUACAGCAUUUGUUCUAAACUAAAAUAACACAUAUUCUACAUAUUGCCAUAAGUUUUAGGUUGGGGUGACCGCGGAGAAAAAUUAAUCCUCCACGAUGAAAUAGACUCAAUUCUUUAGUAAAAAGCCACAACUUAGCACAUCAAAACUCUUGACAUUUUUGACCCAAUAUUUUGAUCAACGAACCAAGUUACCCUAGGGAUAACAGCGCCAUCCAUUUUGAGAGCUCCUAUCGACAAAUGGGCUUACGACCUCGAUGUUGGAUCAGGGUAUCCCAGUGGUGUAGCCGCUACUAA